UACGAAGGGGGCUAGCGUUGUUCGGAUUUACUGGGCGUAAAGCGCACGUAGGCGGAUCGUUAAGUCGGGGGUGAAAUCCUGGAGCUCAACUCCAGAACUGCCUUCGAUACUGGCGAUCUUGAGUCCGGAAGAGGUGAGUGGAACUCCUAGUGUAGAGGUGGAAUUCGUAGAUAUUAGGAAGAACACCGAUGGCGAAGGCAGAUCUCUGGGCCGUAACUGACGCUGAGGAGCGAAAGCAUGGGGAGCGAACAGG
rnacentral:rRNA from 1 species